rnacentral:lncRNA from 10 species
CAACUACUAUGCUAAGUGCUUUGCAUGGUUUAUGUCAUUUAAGUAUCACAAAUAAUACUAUGAGAUAGGUGCUCUUGUUAUGUCCAUUUGACAGAUGAAGAAACUGAAGCCCAAGUCCCAGCCCUAAGAUGAGGCAGAGCUAUGUUAGAAUUCAGGAAAAGCAGCUGUGAAGUCAUAAUUAUGUUCACUUCCCACUGGCAACUGGCAAGCCCUUUAUUUUUGUGCAUUCGGAACUCACCAAGAAUAAAUAAAGUCC